GCGAAUUCGCCUGAUAUCAAAAGAACUUCCGUUCUUUUAGAAAUGACCUCGAACGAUCCAAUUAACAUAAAGAUUCCACAUUCGUUCAACUGCUAUUCCUGCUCCUCGAUCUCUGAUCAGAAAACAUAGAGUUGGUCUAACGCCUAUCGCCUAUCGCGCAAUUAGUAUCUAAUUACAUGGCAGUCGCGUAACAAUGCAUGAACUUGAUAUUCCUACCGUUUUGUGACAGUAAAACAAAGUAGGAAAAAGUGAAUAGCACGCGGAGGAAGUAAACGUAAAUGAAGAAAAGGAAGAAGAUGAUGACGAUGACGAAGAAUGUGAAGUAAAAGAACUAGAAAAAGAAGAAAAAGUCGAAGAGAGAAAAAAUCGUAAGAUAACGCGAUGUUCGUGUACAUUGACGCAUAUAAAAUAGGUAAAGAAAUAUGAGAACGAAGUAAAAGUAGAGAAAAAUGAAGAAAUUGAUGAAAGACGAUGAUGGCGAUGAAGAAAAAGAAAAAGACGAAAGAGAAGGGUAGAAAAGAUCAUAAGGCAACGUGGUGCCCAUGCACAUUCACGCGUAGAAAGUGCGCGUGCGUAGCUGCGCACAUGACGCCUCUGUACGCGGUAUAUAAAUGGCGUAAAGGCGUUUACGCGGUCGAAGGGGAGUUGGAGAAGAGGACAGUAACCCACAAGGAACGUUCUGUCUCAUAAGCGUGGUGCGUUGCACUUAAAUAUAGUCGGUGCAUAGAGAGGAAGAUAGAGAAAAGUUCACGCAUACGUAUAUGCGUACGUACCGUUGCGGUGGAAGAAAGAUAGAAAAAAAGUGCGACGCGACGUUCGUUCUUCUCGUCGUCCUAUUAUUCUCUUUUAGCACAACGGGCUCCCUGCUUGUUUGGAAGUAGUACACUCACGGAUUCGAACGGUCAACAGUAUAAUAGUAUGUUCCUUUCGUGGGCUGUUUCCUACGUCGGAGACGUUUCUUAGAUCUCUCGCUUAAAAUUCGAUAAUAGGAAAUCCCUCCGUAACUGUCCGACGUCAUUGUUUGACCAGCUUUUAACACGUUCAACUAGGCUUGAGCCGCUGAUGGUUUAAAGUGCUGUGUCGGCGCAAGACACCGUGGUGCUUCAAAACAGAAUUGUACGUUUUUAACACUUUGGACCGUGCGUCCUGUAACUGUGCUGCGUUAGUGUUGGUUUUGUACUACAGCUGGGAGAACAGUUAAAAACUCUGUUGACAGAUGGAAACAAAUUUCUUUUUUAAAACAGAAAUACUCAAAUUAGUGAUAAAAUUAACUUUCUUGCAAUGGAAUCCGAAUAAUGGUUUCGUAAAAUGUAUAUGAAUUCCGGAGAAUGUAGUAUACAAAGUUAUGUAGAAAAUACAACAUAAAAAAUGUGAAGCAUCGAAAUUCUUCGUUGGAAAAGUGAAUAUAAAUACAUAUGUACUAUGAAACACUAUGAAACACUAUGAAACACUACGAAACAUUAUAAAAAUAUGUAUAUGUAGUUGUUAUGAAUAAUAUAAAAACACGUAGUUAUUUAUAUAAAUAAAGAGAUUUUAACGCAUAAAUUUCCACUAUCAGAUGGUUUUACAACGUUUAUACGUAUGGAUAACGAUAUCAUUUUCUUACUAUGUUUGGGAUUAUGGCACAUUAAAAGACAAUUUGUCUUUCGUUAUCUAAGAAGCAGCUUUAUUUCUUCCAAGAUAAAAUGGAUAUAGCGUUCAGAUAACGUGCAAGAUAAACAAAUUGUAGCUGAAUUAUUUAUGAAUAUAUAAAAAGAAGGAAAAAUACACAUUUGUAAUUUAGCUUAAAAGUUUUAAACUUUUUGUUUUAAUUUGCUUUUACAUGAAAGUGUUGAGAAAAUCCAAAGGUACUGACCGUUUUUUUUUCUUUUCUUUUUCCUUUUUCUUUUUUUCUUUUCUUUUCCCUUUUUCUUUUUUUUUUUUCUUUUCGUUUUUUCUUUCUUCUUUUUGAGUGGAAGGGUAUAUUUUCGAACAUGCAUAAAGUAAGUAGUAAUCUAUACUCAAACGAACUGGAUAACCAUCGUUCAAUGUCGACCAAGGACACAGAUAAAGAAAAAGCAACAAAAAAAGUUUUAGAAGUUACUCAUUUUUACAUCGUUAGGAAUGUUAGGUGUGGAAAUUGAUCACUUUCACUUACCAAAGCGCUUUUCCAAGCGAGUUUGGAACCAAUUUUAAACCUAUUACACUUACCUACAUAUUUCCCAUCUCUCUAAGAAGCAAAGUAAUCAAUACGUAUCCCGAUGCGUGAACAACAUAGGAAUGCAACAGUUUCGCUAAGAUAUCGUAAUGCCAGAAUGCAAAAAGAUCACAGUAAAGUUAAGCAUGAGCUAACUUAGGCUGAUCAAAAUCGUGCCGAGCACAACACGUUCUCGCAUCUGUUUUUUUUAUUUUCGUUGGAAUAGUAUGCUGGAAUAGUAGCUUCAUUGAAAUUUAUAGUCGAACUAUAUCGUGCUAUAGACGAAUCACAAAGAACUUUCUCCAACCCGGACAAAAUUUCUGUCGAAUUGUACGUAAUGAAACUUUGAAAUAUCUAAAUUCAACGAUCGUCUUAACUACUCAAUUUUUCCUGUUUAAUUUCUUGCGUCAGAUCGGAUCCCUUGAUCUCAUUUCGAUAGAAUAUUUUCCCAUUGUUUAAGUUUGAAUGUUACCGCAGGAUAGAUAUCUCCUACGAAAAAUUUAGGAAUUGUCUGAGAGAAGAUAUGUCGUCUAUGUAUACGUGGAACGCAUAUGUAUACUUUAACGCUAUGAUUGUCAUUAACAAAGUUGCUAGUCGAUCGUACCAACAAAUUUUCGGAGCGAAAGUAGUUAAAAAUUUCAUCGGUUCGUAGUCGUAUUAAGCAUCGUUUGGUAUACAGAUUAUAUAUAUGGAAUGGUGCUCUGCAAAAAUUAGUGGAAUUACAGUUUGUAGUGUUUGUAGAUUAUCGAUACGAUCCGCUGGCUACGUUGUAAUUGCGUAGGACUCUCGAAAUCGCAGCGACGGAUCGCCCGGAUUUAUCGGGUAUUACGCAACGCCAUCAAUUUUGUUAAUGUAUUGCUCGCAAAGCUAACACUGGAAUGUAGAUAGAGCUGUUUGUGAUUGAGCUACUCGGAUAGAUUGAAAUUCGUUUUGUUGGAAAGGUGUAAGUUUUCGAAAUAUUCCAGAUAUGUAGGAUCUACAUUUUGAAGAACAGGGAACUCAGAAAAGGAGGAAUGAAACGA